rnacentral:rRNA from 1 species
AAUUUUAUAUAAAAUAAUUUAUAUUUUAAAUAUUUUUAUAAGAUUAUUUAUUUUGUUGGGGUGAUAAAAAAAUUAAUAAAACUUUUUUAUAAAAUUUACAUAAAUAAAUGAGUAAUUGAUCCAAUUUUAUUGAUUAAAA